ACAGCAGCCGCCGCGGGAAUACGAAGGGUGCAAGCGUUAAUCGGAAUUACUGGGCGUAAAGCGUGCGUAGGCGGUGAGUUAAGUCUGCUGUGAAAUCCCCGGGCUCAACCUGGGAAUGGCAGUGGAUACUGGCUCGCUAGAGUGUGUCAGAGGAUGGUGGAAUUCCCGGUGUAGCGGUGAAAUGCGUAGAGAUCGGGAGGAACAUCAGUGGCGAAGGCGGCCAUCUGGGACAACACUGACGCUGAGGCACGAAAGCGUGGGGAGCAAACAGGAUUAGAUACCCGCGUAGUCCCUGUCUCUUAUAC
rnacentral:rRNA from 1 species